rnacentral:lncRNA from 1 species
AUUUUCCUUUUGCGAAUUUGCAGGGCUUCGGAUUUUUGAGGAGCUUGUCGAAGUGGAUUUCCUUGUAAGCAGCAGUAGAGUGCCCAAUGAUUUAAAUAAGAAAGAUGUUUUAGUUUAUAUUUUAUAAUAUUAUUAUAUUUAUGUAGCCAAAGAGCUGUAGUAGAGCAAUGAAGGCGGUUGGGGUCGUGGAGUCUACAUGUGAAGAAAUUUUUGAGCUAGUAAUGAGCAUGGAUGCCACACGGUUUGAGUAGGUGCUUUUAUUGUUGAAUCUAGAUUUACUUUUUAGUGUUCCAUUGCAUGUUAAAGAAGAUCGUUAUAGAGGACAGUGUCUGGAAAAUUUCUUGUUAUCUUUCAUUGCAUUGAGAUUAUCAUGAAUUUUUUUUACCUGUGAAAGAUAAGUAAAUUAACCAGAUUCUUAAUUGCAAAACACAAAUUGG